GGGCACGGGGCUGGGGUCCAUGUACGGUGGGUGCCGGGCUGGGGUCCAUGUACAGUGGAUGCGGGGCUGGGGUCCAUGUACGGUGGGCACGGGGCUGGGGUCCAUGUACGGUGGGCGCCGGGCUGGGGUCCAUGUACAGUGGGUGCGGGGCUGGGGUCCAUCUACAGUGCUGGUCAGGCAGCUGACUGACCCACGAUGUCUGCCACAGGCCCAGGGAUGGGCACUUAAGGUUGCUUUAUUAUUUUUCUCUUUUUUUUCAACUCUAAUUAAUCAUCGCUUGGAGAAAAAAUUAUCCGUGGGGCUACACACAGCUCUAGCACUUUUGAAACAAGGGCAGCUGACAUGCAGAACGCGUGAGGCCUGCCCCGCCCCCUCCGCAGCAGCAUUCUUUAACGGCCUGCUUACGGCUCGCCUGAGAGACGCACGCGCAGUGCACCGCCGGCCUCCUCCACUCCCUGGCUUCCUCCUUUUCCUGUGCACUGCCGCAGGAGCCCAGCGGCCGUGUAGAAAAGCCCCUGACGUCGGGUUCCUGGGCAGCCAGGCCCCCUCCCGGCACGGCGAGCAGUGGCCACUCAGAAACAGAACAAACAAGGAGAGACCUCCCAUCCACCGCGUCACUCCCCAAAUGCCUGCAACACCUGGGGCUGCACCGAGCCAAAAGCAGGAGCCAGCAACUCCACACAGAGCCUCCCGUGUUGCUCCAGGAAGCUCCUCUGGCCUGGGGUGAGGCCUCGCUGCUGGUCCCCGUGGUCAGCCACAGAGAGCUAGAUGUGGCCCAGGGUUGUGCUCAGCAUCGCAGACCCGCCCCUGUGAGGGCGCCCGGGCUGCCGCCCCGGGACACAAGGCAUCUCGCCAGCAGGGACGCCGUCUGCCCAUGGUCACGUGAAGUGCUUGCCUGUAAGACGCGAUGCCCCGGGGUCCCUCUGCUCCCCACCCUCCUGCACGGGCUCCACACACCCGCAGGUGGGGACAUCCCCUGCUGUGGUCUUGGUACACAGAGAAAACCCACGGCCAAAAGUGCCCAACCUGAACUGAACUUCAAAGGCCGGGCAGUCCCUCCCUGUUCCCUUUGUUCUUGUUCCUUUCAUCUCUGUUGCCGUGAAGUCACACGUGUACCAGCAGCCCCGGCGAGGAGUGCCCACGGAGAAACCUCAGCGGCCCGCCGCGCCUGUCGACCGAAGGCCACAGACCAGGAGUUCCACACGAUGCCGAGGCCCAGGGUCAGCGGGGCCUGCUGCUGCCGCAGGCUCUUGCUGCCUGGUGACAGCUCCAAUCACUGGUCCUCCAGUCUCUGCCCCCCUCCUCACACAGCCCGCUGCCCACCGUGCCCAUACCCACAUCGCCCUCUCCUUGCUCUCAUCAAGACAAACUCCCUGCUGAUGGCCUGGGAAGGCAGUGGAAGAUGCCCAAGUGCUUGGGCCCCUGCACCCGCCUGGGAGACCCGAGAGAAGCUCCUGGCUCCUGGAUUUGGAUCGGCUCAGCUCCGGCCAUUGCGGCCAUUUAGGGAGUGAACCAGCGGAUGGAAGACCUCUCUUUCUGUGUCUUCCUCUCUCUGUCUGUAACGCUACCUCUCAA